GACGAACGCUGGCGGCGUGCUUAACACAUGCCAGUCGAACGAAGAGCGACGGAAGCUUGCUUCUAUCAAUCUUAGUGGCGAACGGGUGAGUAACGCGUAAUCAACCUGCCCUUCAGAGGGGGACAACAGUUGGAAACGACUGCUAAUACCGCAUACGAUCUAAUCUCGGCAUCGAGGAUGGAUGAAAGGUGGCCUCUACAUGUAAGCUAUCACUGAAGGAGGGGAUUGCGUCUGAUUAGCUAGUUGGAGGGGUAACGGCCCACCAAGGCGAUGAUCAGUAGCCGGUCUGAGAGGAUGGACGGCCACAUUGGGACUGAGACACGGCCCAGACUCCUACGGGAGGCAGCAGUGGGGAAUCUUCCGCAAUGGACGAAAGUCUGACGGAGCAACGCCGCGUGAGUGAUGACGGCCUUCGGGUUGUAAAGCUCGGUUAAUCGGGACGAAAGGCCUUCUUGCGAAUAGUGAGAAGGAUUGACGGUACCGGAAUAGAAAGCCACGGCUAACUACGUG
rnacentral:rRNA from 1 species